CACGAAAUCCAGAAAUAUCACCAUUGAUUGAUCCAAUUUAUUUAAAGACUAAUCAUUACAUAAAAAAUACAAAUCUUGAAAGCAUCUGAACUAUACAAAGAUAAGGACAACUUUUCAUACUCAUGAGGAAUAGUUGUUUUCUAGAUAUCUUCCAAAAUAUGCAUAAAGGGGAUUGGUUUUAUAAAAGUUAUGCUGCUCUUUCCAAUUGCAAACCAAAUCACCAUGGCACCACCUACAAACUCUGUCAAUGAGUCAUUUUGACUCGAGAGCCACAAAGGUUAAAAUAGAAUAUAUUUUCUUCUUAACUACUUGCAUGAGCCUGCAUCUAGCUUUAGACUCUUCCUCCAAUCCUCUCCGCAACAGAGAUCCUCCUAUGAUGCCUCAAAAAAUCCUACUCCUAUUAUAGAAGCUUAUAAAACAGAAUGCAUAACUUUUAGCCAUUGUCGAGCAUGUUUCUACUCCAAAUAGUCAUCUCAGCAGGCAAUUGUGAAAACAAAAACCAUCUAUGUACCUAUAAUUUCAUGGGGGAAAAGAUAUUAAACAAAAGAAGAAAAUGAUACUAUUUCACACUAUUUAACAAAUCAGUUGGAUUUGAAGGAGUGUCCUGAAAUUGAUAGCACAACUCCAACAUGAUUAAUUUACGUACAGAAAAUUAUUUAGCAUAUGAAACAUUUUAUGUAUCCUCACUUCAACCACAAUAACAAAAUGUAUUUUCUAAAGUUAUUGAAAACGUGUUUUGAAGUGAACCACACUUAUACAUUUGAGACAUAAUAUAUAUAUGUGUGAUGAAGACUUCUGAGGGGGAAAUAGUUGAAUUUUUUCUCUUGGGAUAGAGUUACCUACAAAUAUAAGGCAAAAAAUAACAAAGAAUGUAACAUUAACUUUGGGGGAGGGGGGAUUUAAGAAUUACCAAACUUGAGAGUAAAUGUAGAAUUAAAUUUGACAUGAGGACAUCUGUCUUUAAUUCUUUAAUAAAUUCAUAUUGCUUUUGCUUUUCAGUCCAAUAAUCAAUACAAAUUAGGGGUUAGGGCUUCCAACUUAUCAAACAGAAUUAACUAUCAAAUAGAACACAAACUGUUCUAUUAGACACUACAAAGUUAACUUUUAACAUAUAACAGAUCAAUUGUACUUCGUCAUGUAUUUGAAACUUUCCUCAAUGGUAAGUAGGAAAUAAAUAUGAUACCUCCUCCAAACAGACAUUGUAGACAAUGAUUAUUGAAUCAUCCAUCGCUACAACAAUCACAUUGUUAUCAGAUGAGUGGCAAGCAAGACAUUGCUGCAGGUGUAAUAGGCAUGAUACUUUUCAUUUUCUGCAGUUAUCAAGAACAACAAGGAACAGUUUAUGAAAUCAAUAAUAGUAGGAUGAAAUCUCUAAGCUAUGGGGCAUUUCAAUUUUAAAGUAUUACUUGUUCGGGAGAAAUCAAAGAGCUCGGUGUCAUACAAAUUAAGGAUAACUGUAGAACAUAAAGCAAAUUCUGGAUUUAAGAAAUACAAAUCACAUGAAAGUAAAGUACCUGUUUAUACCCUGUUGUCAGUUUUCAUUCUUGAAAAUUCAAUUCCAUUAACACUUAACACUUACCGUAACUAACAUGAUUUGAUUACUUCAGUUUGGAACUGUAGGCAACUUUCUUGGGCAAAGGAACGGAUAUAGGGAAGGAGAAGCAUUUCAUUAUACAGCAUGUAAACUUCAUUUUUUUUAAUCACCUUAAACACGAGAGAAUAUUGAAAAUAGAGAUCGCUCAUCCGGAUAUCGAAAGUGCAUAAAAAUCAUUCUAGGUUAAAGCUACACAAGGUGAACAUGCUUUUGCAUCACUGCUGGACAGGCUGUUGGUCAACAACACCCCAUUUGUGGUUGGAAUAGUUGAGGAGUGCAUUUUGGUGUCGUUUACAACAUAAACACGUUGGUCAGCCGACAAACGUAAAUUUAUAACCCCUUUUCUUAUAGCCAAUAGAAGUUUCCCACAAGAGAGAUAUAUAAGCCUUUUUCUUGAAACUCCUUUACCUGACCAGUCAAAUUAGAAUCACUCUUCGACCUUUUUCAGAGUAGAUGAAUAUUAUCUACGACUAAAGCCAAAAGCAUAUUUCCUAGAUGAGUAUACAUCAAUCUCCACAUCAACCAAAUACCUCGGAGCACAAUGGAUUAUAGUUCAAUCAUUAUAUUUAUUCAAUAGGCGAUAAAAGAAAGCAACUAAGCAAAUAGUGUGCGUACGUGCUACAGAUAACUGUAUCAGCUGCUAAUGAUCUAGAGUUUCUAGGCAUGGUAUUUUUUUUCAGGGUAGACAUGAUUUCAAAAUUUUCAAUCCAAUAGCUAAAAGUAAUAAAUAGAAAAAUAAUAUCCAUAAGCAUAAAUCAUGGAAAAAUAUUUACUUUUCAAAGUAAGAUUAAAGAAAGAACUAAGGUUGGUUUAUGAAUAGUCCAUUAAAUUCUAAAGAUGAGACAGUCAUAACCAUACACAUGGAUCGCGUUCACAGUCUUUUCAUCAUCUUUUUUUUGAGAACUAAAUGAUCCAUUACUUUAGAGUUUCUCUGUCAAUAGAUAUACUUGGCAGACUUGGUUGUUCUUGAGAAAGUUUUUUAAUGAAGGCAAGACAAAGAUGUUUAAGUCAUACAUCUUCACCAUGCUUUAAUUUUAUAGCAACAUCAUUAUUGCCAACUUAAGAUGUUUAAAGAAAAUAAAACUACCAAAUUAUAGAAUACACACCUUGGGCGAGCUAGUACAGUGUCGAAGACCAUUGUUUGGAGGAUUUUCCAUAUGCAACAAGUAUCAUAUCCAUCUAAUAAAUGCAGAUAUCCAACUGCAUGAGAUGUUGAUUGUGGGUAGAAAAAACUUAUGGUCACCAACACUGUUUGAUUAAUUAUAGUUUAAGCAAGAUACAAAUAAAAAUAAUAAUUAAUGAACUAUGAUCAAUUCCAAACUAAUUUGUGUACUCUAUAUGAAUACCUCUCACUUAUUCUAAGAGAGAAAAUGAAAAAUAUAAAAAAGGAAAAGGAACUGUAAUAUAAUUUUCCAAGUAGUAAAUACCAUUCAAUAAAUUCACAAAGACACAUAAUAAACCUUUCAUUGAGAAACACAACUUUGAUAGAAGAACCUUCAGCAUAUUCAAAUGUCAACAUGUGCGUCACAUCAUCAAAAAUAUACAGAACUGGAGUUGAAAUUCAUAGCCUUUUUUUCUAACUUCAGUUAUGUAGCGGGUCACCUGUUCCAACAUUACAUUAUCUUAAAAGUCAUGCAAGGAUACUGAUAAAAAAUAAUUCACUAAUCUCAACUAAUCAUAUUUAAGUGUUUGAGAGUGUGCUUUGUGUACAAAUUUGAUACUUGUAACAGUACAUCUCUUUAUCACAAAACGUGACUUGAGUACUCUCUGAAAAAGAAGUUUGAAUAGCGGUAAGGAUGCACAUGAUAUUGACAAAAUGAACAGCUAAAGUCAGCAUUAUCGGGCUUCUAUAUGCUACUAUUGAUACUAUUCAAAAUUCACAAACCAAAGUAACCAUUGUUUCGAGAGUUAAAUGAGGAAUAAGCUUUUAUAAAAUAAAUAUAGAACAAAGCAAGUAACUUACCGUCGUGCCUUGCUUGACCAAAAUUAAGGAGUUUUCUUUUACUUCUAAAUUGAUUUUCAUUUUCCAAGAAGAAUAA
rnacentral:lncRNA from 1 species